rnacentral:rRNA from 1 species
UCUCCUGGAAACGGGUGGUAAUGCCGGAUGCUCCGGUUGGAUGCAUGUCCUUCCGGGAAAGGUUCCAUCGGUAUGGGAUGGGGUCGCGUCCUAUCAGCUUGAUGGCGGGGUAACGGCCCACCAUGGCUUCGACGGGUAGCCGGCCUGAGAGGGCGACCGGCCACAUUGGGACUGAGAUACGGCCCAGACUCCUACGGGAGGCAGCAGUGGGGAAUAUUGCACAAUGGGCGCAAGCCUGAUGCAGCGACGCCGCGUGCGGGAUGGAGGCCUUCGGGUUGUAAACCGCUUUUGAUCGGGAGCAAGCCCUUCGGGGUGAGUGUACCUUUCGAAUAAGCACCGGCUAACUACGUGCCAGCAGCCGCGGUAAUACGUAGGGUGCAAGCGUUAUCCGGAAUUAUUGGGCGUAAAGGGCUCGUAGGCGGUUCGUCGCGUCCGGUGUGAAAGCCCAUCGCUUAACGGUGGGUCUGCGCCGGGUACGGGCGGGCUGGAGUGCGGUAGGGGAGACUGGAAUUCCCGGUGUAACGGUGGAAUGUGUAGAUAUCGGGAAGAACA